ensembl:snRNA U6 U6 spliceosomal RNA
GUGCUCACUUCGACAGCAUAUGUACUAAAAUUGGAACAAUACAGAGAAGACUAGCAUGGCCCCUGUGCAAGGAUGACACACGAAUUUGUAAAGCGUUCCAUAUUUUU